CAGCUUUGACUCAGUAAUCCUUUGCAUGGUAAACUGCAAAGUACUUUUGUACAAAGGACAAGAUGGUCAACAUGUGAGAACAGAAGAUUGCAACAACAUGCAUGGACCUGGAGGGCAUUAUGCAAGGCUCCCCACAUGCACGAGAGGGUCCAAGACAGGGAGGCAGGAUGAGGAAUCCGUGCGUCCUGAGCUAAGGAUGGGGCUGGAGCUGGGGCUGGGCGGUGCCUUCACUUGGAAUGAGCGAGAAGGAAAAGGUGACUCUUCCAAACCCAGGAUGAACGCAUUCCACCCUCACAGUCCCCUAGAGGGCGGCCAGCCACGACGCG